ACAGCCACAUCAUGUUGAAACACCAGUUCCCAUAUCAUUACCAAAGUUAAGCAACGUCAAGCCUGGUCAGUACCUAGAUGGGUGACCACUUGGAAAUACCAGGUGUUGUAAG